rnacentral:tRNA from 1 species
AGGAAGGCCCUGAGGCUAUAAGUACUGCUAAUACUUAUAUCCACGGUUAAACUCCGAGGUUUCCUU